AUACGUAGGUGACAAGCGUUAUCCGGAUUUAUUGGGUUUAAAGGGAGCGUAGGCGGACGCUUAAGUCAGUUGUGAAAGUUUGCGGCUCAACCGUAAAAUUGCAGUUGAUACUGGGUGUCUUGAGUACAGUAGAGGCAGGCGGAAUUCGUGGUGUAGCGGUGAAAUGCUUAGAUAUCACGAAGAACUCCGAUUGCGAAGGCAGCCUGCUGGACUGUAACUGACGCUGAUGCUCGAAAGUGUGGGUAUCAAACAGGAUUAGAUACCCUGGUAGUCCACACAGUAAACGAUGAAUACUCGCUGUUUGCGAUAUACAGUAAGCGGCCAAGCGAAAGCGUUAAGUAUUCCACCUGGGGAGUACGCCGGCAACGGUGAAACUCAAAUGAAUUGGCGGGG
rnacentral:rRNA from 1 species